rnacentral:rRNA from 1 species
UACGUAGGGGGCUAGCGUUGUCCGGAAUCAUUGGGCGUAAAGAGCGUGUAGGCGGCCAGGUAGGUGGGUUGUGAAAACUGGAGGCUCAACCUUCAGACGUCGACCCAAACCCCCUGGCUAGAGUCCGGAAGAGGAGAGUGGAAUUCCUGGUGUAGCGGUGAAAUGCGCAGAUAUCAGGAAGAACACCCGUGGCGAAGGCGGCUCUCUGGGGCGGUACUGACGCUGAGACGCGAAAGCGUGGGGAGCGAACAGG